rnacentral:rRNA from 1 species
AACCAGCUCUUCAAGUGGUCGGGAUAAUUAUUGGGCUUAAAGUGUCCGUAGCCGGUUUAGUAAGUUCCUGGUAAAAUCGGGUAGCUUAACUAUCUAUAUGCUAGGAAUACUGCUAUACUAGAGGGCGGGAGAGGUCUGAGGUACUACAGGGGUAGGGGUGAAAUCUUAUAAUCCUUGUAGGACCACCAGUGGCGAAGGCGUCAGACUGGAACGCGCCUGACGGUGAGGGACGAAAGCCAGGGGAGCGAACCGGAUUAGAUACCCGGGUAGUCCUGGCUGUAAACGAUGCAUACUAGGUGAUGGCACGGCCACGAGCCGUGUCAGUGCCGUAGGGAACCGUUAAGUGUGCCGCCUGGGAAGUACGGUCGCAAGGCUAAAACUUAAAGGAAUUGGCGGGGAGCACCACAAGGGGUGAAGCCUGCGGUUC